GCGUUCUAAGGACAGUGAAGUCAGACCGUAAGGACUGGUGGAGUGCUUAGAAGUGAGAAUGCCGGUAUGAGUAGCGAAAGACGGGUGAGAAUCCCGUCCACCGAAUGCCUAAGGUUUCCUGAGGAAGGCUCGUCCGCUCAGGGUUAGUCAGGACCUAAGCCGAGGCCGACAGGCGUAGGCGAUGGACAACAGGUUGAUAUUCCUGUACCACCUCUUUAUCGUUUGAGCAAUGGAGGGACGCAGAAGGAUAGAAGAAGCGUGCGAUUGGUUGUGCACGUCCAAGCAGUUAGGCUGAU
rnacentral:rRNA from 1 species